AGUUGUAGAAUCACUGGUGAAUAAGGGGUGGGCAAGUUCUGGUGUCAGCCGCCGCGGUAAAACCAGCACCUCGAGUGGUCAGGAGGUUUAUUGGGCCUAAAGCAUCCGUAGCCGGUUGCAUAAGUUUUCGGUUAAAUCUAUGCGCUUAACGUAUAGGCCGCCGAAAAUACUGUGCAGCUAGGGAGUGGGAGAGGUACACGGUACUCGAUAGGAAGGGGUAAAAUCCUUUGAUCUAUUGAUGACCACCUGUGGCGAAAGCGGUGUACCAGAACACGUUCGACGGUGAGGGAUGAAAGCUGGGGGAGCAAACCGGAUUAGAUACCCGGGUAGUCCCAGCUGUAAACGAUGCAGACUCGGUGAUGCAUUGGCUUGUGGCCAAUGCAGUGCCGCAGGGAAGCCGUUAAGUCUGCCGCCUGGGAAGUACGUACGCAAGUAUGAAACUUAAAGGAAUUGGCGGGGGAGCACCACAAGGGGUGAAGCCUGCGGUUCAAUUGGAGUCAACGCCAGAAAUCUUACCUGGGGAGACAGCAGAAUGAAGGUCAAGCUGAAGACUUUACCAGACACGCUGAGAGGUGGUGCAUGGCCGUCGCCAGCUCGUGCCGUGAGAUGUCCUGUUAAGUCAGGUAACGAGCGAGACCCCUGCGUCUAGUUGCUACCAUUACUCUCUGGAGCAGUGGAGCGAAUUAGACGGACCGCCACAGUUAAUGUGGAGGAAGGAAGGGGCCCCGGCAGGUCAGUAUGCCCCGAAACCCUAGGGCUACACGCGGGCUGCAAUGGUAUUGACAUGUGUUCCGAAUCCGAAAGGAGGAGGCAAUCAUCAAACAUAUCUCAGUUAUGACUGAGGGC
rnacentral:rRNA from 1 species